rnacentral:lncRNA from 1 species
AUUGAGUUUAACAUGGCUGACCAAAGAACUUGGAGAGAACUUGUUAUCCCUGAUGUUGAUUAUAAUGCUUUGUGUAUUGAAUAUCUUGUUGCUGCCAAAUCCUUGAUUGAGAACAUGUCACUUAACUCCUAACAAUUCACAACAAGGGAUAAUUUUAUGGUUCAAGCAAAAGGUGUGAAUGAGAUUCAGGUUUCUUCUUCCAACAAAGCUCUAGAAACCAGAAUUGAUGAACUUACCUCUUUGGUGAAACAAUU